UGUAUAAAUGUAUCUGAAAAUUUUCAAAGAUAUUAUACCUGCAGUGUCCAGAGGAACGCACACAUUCUCUAGCAAGGUAAAACGAAGAAAUAUACACUAUGCAGAAAUUGGUUGCCGUUUUGCUUAUCCUUUCUGUUCUUAUGAUGACAGUGGACGUCUCAGACGGUUUUAUAAGGAAAUGGGUAAAUUGUAAAAAAUGUAAAGCUACUUGUCAGUUGAAGUAUAUAAAGUGCAAGGUCAAUCCUUUCAAAACUAGUUGUGGUUUCAAGAGGAAAUUGUGCAAAAGGAAGUGUAAAUUCUAACAAAGACAGAGAUGGUGGGACUCGACCGAUAUUCAUGAGGCUAAUUGUAGUCAUUUAUAUGUGGCUAAAGUCAAAUAAGCCGUGAUCUCUUGAAAUUUGAAAUAAAAUAUGAAAGCAUGAA